GGUCGAUUGGUCUAGUUGGUUAUGACGACGCCUUAACACGGCGUAGGUCCUCGGUUCGAUCCCGAGAUCGAUCA
rnacentral:tRNA from 4 species